UGGUGGAGUGAUUUGUCUGGUUAAUUCCGUUAACGAACGAGACCUCGACCUGCUAAAUAGUUUGCUUUAUCCCCCGGGAUAGGCGUGAACUUCUUAGAGGGACUAUCGGUGUGUAGCCGGUGGAAGUUCGAGGCAAUAACA
rnacentral:rRNA from 1 species